rnacentral:rRNA from 1 species
AAUGUGCCCAAUCUCAUCCGAUCUUGGAAGCUAAG